AUCUUUGGUUUUUGAAAACAUGAGCAAAAUAUCAUUCAAAGUAAAUACAAAUGGUUGAUCGUUGGUUUUUAAAACAUGAGCAAAAUUUCAUUUAAAGUGUCAACAAGGCAAUGCACUCAAUACAAUCUCCUUCUAUUCCUAUCAUACAAUCACAUCUGUUAUUCAAAAAACAUACCCCUUAUGAUCUUCAAAUAUUUUGGCUCCAACCCUGGAAGGCAAUAGCAUCACUCAAGAUCUCUUGUUUUUUUGUUUUUGUUUUUUUCUUAUAAGAUGGGCGGAUAGAAAAUCAAAGUACUGAAGUACUGAGGACACAACAAGUUUGUUGAGAAUAGUGAAAUUGUAAUGGCUUGAGUUCAAAUAGUUUGAUGAAAUCUAUUUAGUGUAAAAUUAAAAAAUAAAGAGCAAUAUAGUAAGUGGAGGAAUAUCAUAAAAUUAAAGAAA